GGCGAACGCUGGCGGCGUGCUUAAUACAUGCAAGUCGAACGGAAAGGCCCUGCUUUUGUGGGGUGCUCGAGUGGCGAACGGGUGAGUAACACGUGAGUAACCUGCCCUUGACUUUGGGAUAACUUCAGGAAACUGGGGCUAAUACCGGAUAGGAGCUCCUGCUGCAUGGUGGGGGUUGGAAAGUUUCGGCGGUUGGGGAUGGACUCGCGGCUUAUCAGCUUGUUGGUGGGGUAGUGGCUUACCAAGGCUUUGACGGGUAGCCGGCCUGAGAGGGUGACCGGCCACAUUGGGACUGAGAUACGGCCCAGACUCCUACGGGAGGCAGCAGUGGGGAAUAUUGCACAAUGGGCGGAAGCCUGAUGCAGCAACGCCGCGUGCGGGAUGACGGCCUUCGGGUUGUAAACCGCUUUCGCCUGUGACGAAGCGUGAGUGACGGUAAUGGGUAAAGAAGCACCGGCUAACUACGUGC
rnacentral:rRNA from 1 species